rnacentral:lncRNA from 1 species
AUGUUGUUAAUUAAAAAUGUGCCUCUUCAGAACCCGUUACCAGCUUUUCGUACUAGUACAAAAACCUAUGAUCAGAUCGAUUUUGUAACUAUAUGGUGCGCAUCAUAGAAAGUUUAAAACAUUUUUACAAGCAACACACACAUAACUUUAUUGCUUAAACAUAAUGUAGCAAUGCAUAGCAACACUAGAUCAGUAUCUAUGUUAAUUUAGUUGUGGAAUACAAUAUUAACUACCCUAGAACCUUCUCAGUGCAAUCAUACCCUAACCUGAUAGUUUAGACAUUGUACACCAACAACAAUAUUGCCUUGGAAAUUACAAACAUUGUUCCAAGGCAAAUGAAAACCAGACACUAGUUUAUGUAACUACCAACAAUAACAGCACCAGACUCAUUGUAAGCCAUUUUGUUUUGUUAAGUUAUGGUAAAAUAAAUUAUAUGUUCUCUAAUGAUUUUUAAGAUCAAAAUAUAAACUAUGGAAAGUAACCCAUUAAUUAAAAACUUCACUAAAGCAUAGAACUAGGUAACUGUGAUGGAGUUAAUGAUUCUUUUGAGUAGACAUUUUGAUUAAUUACUCAUGUAAUAAUUACUAAUAUCUAUUGUAGUAACUAACGUUGUCCUGGUCAAUAACUAAAGAGUAAUUUUGCUUUUCAUAAAAAAGUAAAAAUAACAAAUAGAAGAUCUAGGUGAAUGAGUAUUCCUUCAAUGCAUUUUACAAAUCUAUUAAACCAGAUUUUCUUAGAAAGAUUAGUAAAAACACCCGAAAACCCAACGACGAAGAAAGCAUAGUUUUCGGAAGUUAAUCAAUCAAUCAAUCUUUCUACAUGCCGGUACCUAUACUGAUACCGAUACUAAUACUGAUACUAAUAAUAAAAAAAUGCGAUCUCGACAAACGCAGCAUCAUACAAUAGCAUCAAAAUAAACAUAACUCAAUCCAAAUCCAAAUCCAAAUCUUUAAACAUCAUCUGCCUAAUUUAAUUGUACAAGGUUAAAUAAUAACCUGCGGAAUUUAAUUAAUUAUCUGACCUUCCUUUAAGAAGCAUACUUUUUAACUCCGUCAAAACGGCGGCCGGUUCCCCAUGUUCCCAGACCAACCACCACCACCAUCCACCGGUAACUGAACAUUAGCCAUGUUAACUGGCAAGUUAAAAAACGGUAAACCCAUCGAAGACGGGUCAUUAAACGCGUCCGCACCAUCUCCUCCUCCGCUUGCAGCCGCCUCAUCUUCAUCGAGCGGCAACCGCUCAUACGCCACGUUAGUGAAAGAAGCAGCUAUUACAAUCACUGGCCCAGAUGCAAUCAAAGCGCCUACAACAUUACCACCAACAACCUGCCCUUGUCCACCAGCUAAAUAUAUGGUUAAACUAGUAGCCCCUGGCGGCGCAGGUGGCGGUAAAAAGGAUCCCGACAACGAAAGAAUUUCAAACCGUCCGGGAAGUGUGAGGACAGAUCCAGCGGCUGUAGGGUGCCUAAGAGUAACGUUGUUAACGGUGCCGUUACCACUGACUAUGCAUAUCCCUCGUUGACGUUUUCGGGCGUAAUUGGCGAUGGACUCAAAGACAUCACAACCGUUGCUGAUUUCUAGGAUGUGUGCGCGGAGGGUGUUGGCGCUUUCUCUAGUGAUGAUGACUGGGGGUUUGGGUUUGUUUUUGGAGCCCGGAGGGCGGCCGCGUGGGCGACGUCCUGAUGCGUCGCCCACACGGCCAGAGCCCGGAGUGUGUUGGUUGGUGUCAUCUUCGGAAUGAUAAUCCUUUGGGAUUUGGAGUUGGAGGUUUUGAAGAGAGAAAGGGGAUGUUGAGCUCAAGUCUAGAUUGUUGUUUGACAUAUUAUAUGAUAUAGAUAUAGAGAUCAAGAGGAGAAAUGGAAAUCUAAAGG